UAGGGGGAGGGAAAAAGAGAGGAGGGGGAUAGCGGGGAGGGAGGCCGAGGUCGGCUCCGAGACCCACCGAGAAGAAGGGGGAAGGGAUCCAGUCCGGGAGAGGCUGCGGAGCGUGGCCUGAGGCGGAGAACCGGACUCCGGGGGUCUGGGCCAGGACAGGCGCCGGUCUGACCCGCCUGGCUCGCAAAUGCAGGCCGGGCUCCCUCCUCCCCUGGCGGGUGGCGGGGGAGGGGAGGGGGCUUGAGGCCAGAGGGAAAGGUGGUACCAAUCCUCCAGUUCCAGAGCUACAAAGCUGAUCCAGGCCUCGUUGGGGGACGCCUAAACGCCCUUCUAAAGACCUGGGGUGUCAUCACCACACCACCCCCGGGCACACGGAGCCUGGCUCGGUGUAUCGCAUUCCCCUUCCUCCCCCGGAGCAUCUGGCGGAGCUGGGGGAAAGGCAAGAGAAAGCCAUCAAGGAGGAUGCUGUAGCUGCUGCUGCCUGAAGUCUUUGGCUCCUGUAGUUCAUGAGGCCUCCCUCAAUAGGGCUGGAGACCGAAGCGGAUCGGGGCCGUGCUGCCUUGUUCCUCCUCCCGGAGCCACGGCGCCGGCCUGGGCGGAUCUGAUGGCGCUGUUACCGACUGAAGUGAAGCCCGGAACCUGAAGGGCUGGGAGGUCGGGGAGAAAGCAAAGCAGCACCGAAGGCCAGAAACUAAAUACACAGCCCAGGACCCCGACGACCCAAGGACUAGGGGUAAAGUCCCUUCCCAUUCCAGCUCGAUCAAUCUUCCUUCCCGUGCGAUCGAUUAAUAAAAACGAAGUGAAAAGACCAUGGUCGCUGUGGGUCUGGAAAGGAAGUGGGGGCCAGAGGUAUCCAGGCCGGCGCCGGUACCCACUUCCCACCGGUUCGCAGCCCGGAGGUCUGCAUCGCCUCGGACUAGAGAAACCGGGCGGUGGCGAGAACCCAGGGAGACCACGCGGGGCCUUUAAUUGGGUGUAUCCGUUUUAACAGUGGCCAUUGUUGAAGCAAUUAGCGAGAGACAAUAACCACCGAGCUGCGUUUAAUUCGAUUUUGUGCACGCUGCAAUUCCCCACCCGUGCUCUGCGAUAUGCAGGCCUGGGAUAACCGGUAGGGUCUGGAUGUGAAGGUACGGGUUGGGUUCCUUGAUCAUUUUGUCUUAGGCAUGGAAGUUGUAAAAGAAAGGCGGGAGGGGGAGCUAGAUCUGCCUCCCCCCCCAUCAGGGCAGGGUAGGAGACUCGUCCUUGAUCAUCCCCCGGACCACUGUUCUUUCUUGGAGCGUGGGUUGGAGCUGCGGCCGCCACGUCAAUCCACAGUGCCUGUUUGAGAGGAGAAAAGCCGGGAAGGAUGGGACAUGGAUCCAAGUCUCAAUCUUCCUUCCCCCGCCUCGGUUCCUCGAACCAAAUCCGAAUUACCUUCCCAAUCGGGGGAGGAGCAAAGAGACCCUGCUUAAGUCUCACAACACACCACCUUCUCCUCUGGAGCCAACCCCAGUACCCCCUCCUCUGUUUCAGCCUCCGGAUUAGGUUACCCGGGCCGGGCGAUGACUUUUACUGGAUACGAGAAUAGCACAGGUAAAGCUGUAUAAACAGUUCCCGGCUGCGAAGCAGGAGGGUUAUGCCGGGGACACAGUCCCAAGGCGCCACCAACCAGCCUGGCUUGAGCACACGAAAACGGCUGGGGAGACCGCUUUGCCACAGCGACCCGGACCUCACAGUUUAAAACACCGGAGAAAAACUGCCCGAGCCAGGAGGAGCGGGGUAGCCAAGCAGAGACUCUACCCGGGAAGAAAGGCGCUGAGCAAUUACCUGCUUCGCACUCCGCCCCCAGCCCAGCCCCAGCCCUCACCUUCAUCUUCGAGGGUUUCUAGCCCUCCCUCAGCCGCUACUACCCGCCCCCCCCCCGCUUGAGAAAACCCCUGAUUAUAGCGAGAUUAAAAAAAUAAAAUGGGUAGAUAAGGGUGAAGCGGAAAGGGGCAGGCGGACAGGGAGAAGACCGGGGAUUUCUGUUUUCGUAUAGAACAAAGCACACGCGACGGAGGUGGUGACGGAGGAACCCAAGCCUAGGGUGGGAAGAGAAAGAACUAAUCCAGAAAGAAGAAGGUGUGCGCUUUCUAGCUACGCCUGGAGGAGCCUAGGAAAGAGCCAGAGAUGCAGGUGACCCAUUGGGAAGUGCAGGCUCCCGCAGCCGCUCCUCUGCCCUUUGGCACCAUUAAUUUCCAGUAGGAUAUUCGCUGCCUCUAGACCUGGCCUGCUCCCAGGAAAGCCCCAGACCCCCACCUUUGAAGCACCUAGAAUACCGCACGGCAUCCAAGAAAAUCCGGAGCCAGGCGGUUGGGGUUCCACCGCUUAAACACACAGGCUCCUUCGUAAAGACGUAAAACUGUGAGGCUGAGGAGGGACAGUCUUGGUCACCUGCUCGGUUCAACCCUGGCCUCUUGGCUUCGCCCGGCUAGUUGAGGCGCUCCCCAGUCCCCAGCGCCUACUUCAACCCACUCUCCUCUGGAGCUUGGGUGGUUUUAAAAGGAGAAAGUGGGCUUUAUCUUGCAGAUGUGGGGCUUUUGCAUCUCUAGAUUAGCCGAAGGAAUUGGAAUGCCGAUUGUUGAGGGACAGUCCACUUUGGAUGGGGGCUGAGGUGAGGAGAGGGAUGUGGGAGCUUUACAGCAAAGAUAGGAAAGCAGGAGGCGAUAAGCUUCAGAUACUGGGUCGAGCAGAGGCGGGCUUUAAAAAAAAAAAAGAAAGAAACGAAAGCAAGAAUCAUUGGUGUCAUUGAACACGAUGGUGACCCCAUAGAAAAGAUCCUGAGUGUGCCUGGCUCAGAUUGGCAAAACCAAGACUUCCCGGGCAUCACGGGCUCUUUGCCCUGAGUUACCAUCUGCCUGCCUGCGACUCUCCACUCAUGGGUCCAGAUCCACCAGGGGACCCUCCACAGCCUACCACCUAAGCAAAGUGAGCUCCGGCAAUUUGUUACAUAAAAUAAAACCACCAGCAGACUCAGGUGCUUACCCAUCACCAGCUCCUUGCAGACCCUCUCCUCCGGACAAGCCAGGACUUCCGAGAGAGCGCCUGGCAAUCCUUCCAAGCCAUCCAAGUUGCCUAUGCACUUCCUCAACAUCACCCUAGCCCCGUUGGAACCAGAAGGAAGCAAAGGGUGCUCUCUUCCCCCACAGUUAAUAAACCUCCCGGAUUAUUCCAACCGCUAGUGGGAAGGGGUGAACAGAACUAUUGGAUUGGUACACAAAGGCAUACCUGGAAAGGAACACAUACUCAAGUGUGAAGUAGCUUGGACAUCAAGAAUAAAACAACCCGGGGGGGUAGCCUAAAGAGAGUUAAAAUAGCCCAGGGCUAGAGAACAGAAGGCUUCCCCCUUUAGUCCCACUCAGUGUUGGAAUCCUUCUUUCUUUAUCAAAGUCUUCACUGCAGGGCACACAUAUUGCUGAAGGAGGUGGAAGCCCUAGGACUCCCAUAGAUCUGCAACUUCCCUGGGCCCUGCUGUGUGGUUUUGGGCAAAUAGCAAACACGGAUAUCGCCCUAAUGCUUGCACCGAUCCCUUCACUCCUUCACUAUGUCUAUACCUGAACCCACAUGUUUUCUGCAACAAGGCAGAGUCAAAAUAGGAGAUAAAGAAAAAUGAAGCUAGCCUGCUGUGUGUCUGGGCUUUGGAUUGUGACAGAAGGGGACUGGAGAAUCUGGAGCCGCUAACAAGGACAGUUUAGGUAGAGGGUGAUGUAGACCACCACCACGCAUGGCAUUCUCUAAGCCCUGUGUCCUCAAGCCAGAAACCUUAGGCCUCAGCGAGCUUGAGCCUUGAAGCUGCUGGGCCUUCUUCUAAAUCCUAAUGCUCUGUCUAGCAGGACAGAAACUACAUCUAACGUUGAUAAAGAACGUUUUUUACAUUCUCAUUUCCCAGGAAGCCCUCUUCCCCACAAGCAGCAAUGUGGGCAGCCAGGCAUCUUGUUUAGAAAUACCUGGACUCCUUCCACCUGGGUUUCUGGGGUUCCUUGGCCAUCAACCUGCUGCUGGGGGGAACAGCUCGCUACCCCCACCAUAGAGUGAAGGGGCGCAGAAA